GUGUCAGCCGCCGCGGUAAAACGUAGGAGCCUAGCGUUAUCCGAAUUCACUGGGCGUAAAGCGCGUGCAGGCGGCUUGGUAAGUUGGAUGUGAAAUCUCUCGGCUCAACUGGGAGAGGACGUUCAAUACUGCCAGGCUAGAGGGCGGAAGAGGGAGGUGGAAUUCCCGGUGUAGUGGUGAAAUGCGUAGAUAUCGGGAGGAACACCAGUGGCGAAGGCGGCCUCCUAGGCCGCUCCUGACGCUCAGACGCGAAAGCUAGGGGAGCGAACGGGAUUAGAUACCCCUGUAGUCC
rnacentral:rRNA from 1 species